rnacentral:rRNA from 1 species
CGAAGACAGGUGCUGCAUGGCUGUCGUCAGCUCGUGCCGUGAGGUGUUGGGUUAAGUCCCGUAACGAGCGCAACCCCUGCCUUUAGUUGCGACCGGUAACGCCGAGCACUCUAAAGGGACUGCCUGGGAUAACCAGGAGGAAGGCGGGGAUGACGUCAAGGCAGCAUGGCCCUUACGUCCAGGGCUACACACGUGCUACAAUGGCCGGUACAGAGGGAAGCAAUACCGCGAGGUGGAGCAAAUCCCAUAAAGCCGGCCUCAGUUCAGAUCGGAGGCUGCAACUCGCCUCCGUGAAGGCGGAAUCGCUAGUAAUCGCGGAUCAGCAGGCCGCGGUGAAUACGUUCCCGGGCCUU